GGAGGACCCGUUCUAACACCCACGCUGCUCACACACCCCUCCCAGGCCCGCUCCGGGAGGACCCCAGUCUGCAGCAGACCCCACACCCUCUCCAGAGUUGCCUUGAAAGGAGACACAGCGGCACACCCUGAGACACUUAUUUUUUCCCAUGGAGGUGAGGGGGAGGGGUAGCAGCAGAAGCCCCCGGUCCUUUCAGAAGCCACCAGCAGCAGCUGAAGGCAAGACCCCUCCACUCUGGGACAAUGGUUCCUCCACUACCACUACCCCCCUGCCUACCACCCCCACCUCGGGCUCUCCUGUGAGCAGCUUAUUUCAAGCUGGCAAAUGCAGCGGUUCACAACCGGGGGCAGUUUUGCCCUCCAGAGGACACUUGGUAAUAAUGUGUCUGAGACACUUUUGAUUGUCACACUGGGCUGGGGCUACUGCUGGCUUCUAGUGGGUAGGGGUCAAGGAUGCUGCUGAACACCAUAGAAGAACAGGGCAGCGACCACAACAAAGAAUUAUUCGGCCCCAAAUAUCAACAGUGCUGCUGUUGAAAACCCCUGGGCUGAAUGGGGGGCACUGAGCAGACUGCCUUUUUCUAAGAACCCUUUUUUAAAACAUCUUAAAAAAAGUGUAUUGUGGCAAAAUAUACCUAACAUAAAAUUUUACCAUUUUAACCAUUUUCAACUGUACAAUUUAGUGGCGUUAAAGCGCAUUCGUACUGAACAACCAUCACCACCAUCCGUCUUCAGAACUUUGUCAUCAUCCCAAACGGAAACUGCACCCACUACAUACUAACUCCCCACUCCCCGUGCCCCCAGUCCCUGGUAACCACUAUUCUACUUUGUGUCUUCUAAGGAACAUUUUAAAGUCUGCCUGUCUCUUACACACACACACACACACACACACACACACACACACUCCCAGCCAGGCAGGUAUUUGUGCUAGGCCCUGUCCCCAGGUCACAGUCAGCCCCUCC